rnacentral:rRNA from 1 species
GACGAACGCUGGCGGCGUGCCUAAUACAUGCAAGUAGAACGCUGAAGAGAGGAGCUUGCUCUUCUUGGAUGAGUUGCGAACGGGUGAGUAACGCGUAGGUAACCUGCCUUGUAGCGGGGGAUAACUAUUGGAAACGAUAGCUAAUACCGCAUAACAAUGGAUGACCCAUGUCAUUUAUUUGAAAGGGGCAAAUGCUCCACUACAAGAUGGACCUGCGUUGUAUUAGCUAGUAGGUGAGGUAACGGCUCACCUAGGCGACGAUACAUAGCCGACCUGAGAGGGUGAUCGGCCACACUGGGACUGAGACGCGGCCCAGACUCCUACGGGAGGCAGCAGUAGGGAAUCUUCGGCAAUGGGGGCAACCCUGACCGAGCAACGCCGCGUGAGUGAAGAAGGUUUUCGGAUCGUAAAGCUCUGUUGUAAGUCAAGAACGAGUGUGAGAGUGGAAAGUUCACACUGUGACGGUAGCUUACCAGAAAGGGACGGCUAACUACGUG